GACGAACGCUGGCGGCGGGCUUAACACAUGCAAGUCGAACGGAAAAGCCCUGCUUUUGUGUGGUUCUCGAGUGGCGAACGUGUGAGUAACACGGGAGUAUCCUUCCCUUGACUGUGUGAUAACUUCAGAAAACUGGUGCUAAUACCUGAGAGGUGCUCCUGCUGCAUGGGGGGGGUUGGAAAGUUUCGGCGGUGAGGGAUGGACUCGCGGCUUAUCAGCUUGUUGGUUGGGUAGUUGCUUACCAAGGCUUUGACGGGUAGCCGGCCUGAGAGCGUGAACGGGCACAUUGGGCCUGAGAUAGGGCGCAGAGUGCUACGGGAGGCAGCAGUGGGGAAUAUUGCACAAUGGGCGGACGCCUGAUGAAGAAACGUUGCGUGCGGGAUGACGGCCUUCGGGUUGUAAACCGCUUUAGCUUGUGACGAAGCGUGAGUGACGGUAAUGGGUAAAGAAGCACCGGCUAACUACGUG
rnacentral:rRNA from 1 species